AUGAUGGGUUUAUGGUUUAGAACUGUUUCACUUAUAUUGUAAUGAAUUUUUUUAAUAGGUGAAAAUACCUAUAGAAAAAUAUUAGACGAGAAGACCCUUAGAGUUUUAAUAAAGAUUUUAUAAGUUAAAAUGAUGUUUUUGUUGGGGCGACAUUUUAUUAAAUCUGCACAGGUAUAACAUAAAUUAAACAUACUAUUCAUAAAACUUUAUGUUUGUUAAAAAGAAUAUAACUACCUGAGGGAUAACAGCAUAAU
rnacentral:rRNA from 1 species